GACGAACGCUGGCGGCGUGCCUAAUACAUGCAAGUAGAACGCACAGUUUAUACCGUAGCUUGCUACACCAUAGACUGUGAGUUGCGAACGGGUGAGUAACGCGUAGGUAACCUGCCUGGUAGCGGGGGAUAACUAUUGGAAACGAUAGCUAAUACCGCAUAAUAUUAAUUAUUGCAUGAUAAUUAAUUGAAAGGUGCAAUUGCACCACUACCAGAUGGACCUGCGUUGUAUUAGCUAGUAGGGGAGGUAACGGCUCACCUAGGCGACGAUACAUAGCCGAGCUGGGAGGGUGAUCGGCCAACCUGGGACUGAGACACGGCCCAGACUCCUACGGGAGGCAGCAGUAGGGAAUCUUCGGAAAUGGACGAAAGUCUGACCGAGCAACGCCGCGUGAGUGAAGAAGGUUUUCGGAUCGUAAAGCUCUGUUGUAAGAGAAGAACGGGUGUGAGAGUGAAAAGUUCACACUGUGACGGUAUCUUACCAGAAAGGGACGGCUAACUACGUG
rnacentral:rRNA from 1 species